AGAAAAAGACUAUAGAACAAAAGCAACAAUUAAUUUUUUACCAGUAGAUAGUGCAAAUGCAUUAAUAAAUAAAUCAAAAUAUCAUCAUUUCUUUGAUGUAGUUUAUUUAUCAAACAGUUCAACAAAUUAUUUCACACCAGAAUUUCAAGAAAUCUUUGCAGAUAACAGUGCUAUUCUUAUUGAAACAAUCAACUACAAGAUGAAAAAAGUUGUAGAUAGCACAGUCUAAUUGAGGAAAGUAAGACUUAUUAUAGACUAAUAAUAAUAAUAGAGGAGGAGGAAGGGCUGUCUGCUUUUGCAAACUUAGCCCACUACGAAGAGAAAGGAGUGAAAAGGUUGAAGGAAGGGUUCUGAAGGGAGAAGUAUAAAGGAAAAGGGGAAAAGUAAUGCUGAAAAAAGUUAUUAGGACCUCAGAGUGCUGUAUUGGAAAUUAUUAAUAACCAAAAUUACGAAAGUUGACAAGACCAUUAUACAGUGUAACUGGACCAUUUCUUGUAAUUGUUACUUAUUAUAGACUGAAAAAAAUCCAGCAACAAGUUGCAUAACUUUUAUAACAGCCAAGAAAAUAAUGUUGAAUAGAAUUUUACAUUAACAUACAGUGGAGUGACAAAGUGUGUGUGUGUGUGUGUUUGUUUUGAGUGUUGCAUUGAUGUUCAAAUAAAGUGAAAAAGUUACUUAAUAAUAAAAAGCAUAUUUGCAAGCUGAAAAAAGUUAUGUACUGUUUAUUAAAAUAAAUAUUA